AGCUACUCAAAAUUAUAAUAAUUCGUGAAAAGGAGGAAUGCCCUCAAACAUGCACAAUCUCCAUGGCAAAGCGUUGAGGAUGGCUGAAAACGAUGAAGCAGGGGAAGAAACAACGCCGUUUUACCUCCAGGACGGGUGAACAAGGGAGAACCCGUAGCAGGCCGAAGGGUUUACACAGCUGGCAGCCAAUUCUUUUCUCUGCAGGCCAACAAAUCAAAAGCUGCUAAAUCAUCCUCUAAUAUCUGAUAUUACAAAAUUGCCCUUGCAAUUAACACAGUAAUUUCUACGGUGAAAUUUUCACGGAAAUUAGUAUCCUUAUACAGAUUGAAAUUCAAUCUUUCAUAACUCUUUCAAUCUAUUAAUUUUAUUAAGUUUAACAAAAUAAAUAACACAUAUAGCAUUCAAUUGGUUUAAAAAAGUUUUUAAAACAAUAAAAAUAACAGAACAGAUAAUAAAUAAAUAAAUAAAUAACUAAAAAUUACCUAACGAAUGAAUAAAUAAAUAAGUGAAAUCAUUUUGGGACUGAAAUGCCAAUUUUGCGCACACAUGCGACAGCCCAUACGCAUAUAUACGCUCGGAGCUAACCAAACCAAAACCCAAUCAUUUCCACGAAAUGAUAUGAAAGCGCACGCAACAAUCCAUCACCCCGCGCCUUGAAAAAUUUGAAUCCAGAAACAGCGGCUAAGUGUCCUUAACCAUUCAAAACCCAAAAUCCUCUUCUUACCUUAUAUCUUCUCUGCCUCAACUCAACGACCUCUUAAUUCAAAAUCCAGUAAAUGGCUUCUCGCUACAACUCCUACGAUUCAAGAUCCUCAACUACUUCUCAUUUCUCAGACCCAUAUUCCUCCACCGAGUUUAUAUGCAAACCAUCAUCAAGAACUGCCUCACGAGCACUUGUGAAAGCUACAUCAUCGGAUCUUUCUCAAACCAAGAUCAAAAGCAAGAGCAAUGAUCACAACUUAUCCGCAAUGGUCAAGAAAUUUAUGGAGAAGAAAUCUGCUGGAAAGGGUUCUACUAAUAAGGGAGUAGCAGCAGGGCUGGUGAUUCCAUCGGAUUUAAUAGUGGAGGACUUGAAGAAGACUGCUAGGAAUGGGACCGGCUUUAUUGGGUUGCAGAAGAAAUUGUUCGGGAAGGUGAAAGACAAGGAGAAGAAGACUGUGAAGGCGUUGACAGAGGUGAAAGGUGCUGGUAAUAAUGGCAAUACAAGAACAUUGGCCAUGGUUUUGAGGAGUGAGAGAGAGGUUUUGGGUGCUAAUAAGGAGCAGGAGCUGGAGAUUGCUAAGCUCAAGUUGAUGCUUGAGGCCAAGAACACAGAAGUUGAGAAGUUGAAGGAUUUGUGCUUGAAGCAAAGGGAAGAGAUCAAGUCACUGAAAAGUGCAAUUCUUUUUCCUGAUGUAAUGAAUUCUCAGCUUCAAGAGCUUUUAGAGAAGCAGGGAUCAGAAUUGAAACAAGCAAAACAACUUAUCCCAACUCUCCAAAGGCAGGUCGGUUCUCUUACAGACCAGCUACAGUGCCUCGCCGAAGAUCUUGCAGAGGUGAAAUAUUCAAGGCCAUAUAUGCAACGUCAUGGCAGCUCACCGAGGACACCAACUUAUGAUCAUGAAGAAGCUGCUAAUUCUUUAGAGUUCAGCUCCUGUGAUGCUGCGAGCCCGGGUAGUCCAGAUGACAUGUUUCUUAGGGAUUUGAAUCCGUGUUUAACACCCAAUUAUGCCAAGACAAAAUCCAAGGAAUUUGAUGCAAUCGGCUAUGAUUCUCCACCCCAUAACAGCUUUUCUAAGAAAAAUAUGCAAAUGUAUGAAUACGAUGAACUUAGUUUCAACUCCAGUCUCAAUCAGCUGUCAAAAAGCUCGGAUUGCUGCCAGAACAACAACACAGCCAGCAUAGUGGCAAGAGCAGCUCGAAGAUCAGAUGAAAGCAAAUGCACAUAUGUUAUGGUCAGAACAGACAUCAUACUUGAGGUAGAAGCUCCUUGUUGUACAUGGUGCACUUGAAGAAUAAGGGAUGAAAAGCUAGAGGAUAAGUCGUAAAAGGCUUAGGGGAAAGGAACAGAGACAGGGAGGAUGUUAUACAAUUGCUCAACAACCAAAGGCUAAGAAAUAAACCUGGACACGCUGAUGAAAGCAUAGACUAGUGAAUUAAAGUUUAGCAUGGGUAUGAAAGUGAGCUCCACCUGAAGGGCGGAGAUGCCAAAAUGAACUGCAAGAGAAGCUCUAGACUGUGGAGACUUGGAGACAAUAAUGGCUUUUCCUUUAUCAAUAACAGCACGAUGGUUUCUGCUGAUGUUAUGCACCCACAGCUUUGUCACAAGAAAUAGUAAAUUCUAUGCCUUUAUCAUGGGGAUGGUUGCACACAACAUAUCAAUACAGGAGAUAACAAUUUGAUGAUUUUCUUGUUCCUUCAAAAGUAAGAGAAAAAAAAAAAAUAAUAAUAAUAGGCUGCUUUGUAUCUCGGUAUCCAUUUCCAAAAAAUCACAAACAAGUUGUCUAUAAGUUACUCGAGCACUAGCAAAAUUGCACUAAAUUUCAUUUCC